AUCAUCAAAUUGUCUGUUCAAUUGCAAUUUAAAUCAUCCACAUUGCAGAUUCUUCAUACUGAAUGGGGCUAGCAGGUAUCCAAGCAGCGAAGUCAACCAGUAUCUGUAGGAUGAAGGAACUGAGAGCAUGGAUUACCCAUCAGAAUACUUUUGAGCAUCCAGGUGAAAAACCUGGUGGGUGGUUUCCACUUCACAUACAAUUUGCCCAACAUGGAUGCAGCAACCAAACCAAGACCUGGACUAGAAGUGUGCUGUCUGAGUGAAGUGACUUGCCCCCAAAUCAAACAAUGAAUCACAGCCAGCAGAUUCUCAGGCUUGUUACAUACUGAAGGCUGUUUGUACAUGGAAGCUAAAACAAGAUUAAGUCACAGUCUUCCCAGGUCAUCAAUUUGGAUCUUUCACGUUCUCUUUAAAAAUCAGACACAACAGCACACAGAGGGUUGGACAAGGAUUAAGAAAAACUAAUAUCCUGCCAUGGGUGGAUUCGACAUCUAGGUCUUUAGAAAUAUACCUAUAAAUAUUCUCAUGCCCCAAAUCAGAACAGCUCCAAAAGGGUCUUAGCUGAUGAAUUUAUUAAUUGAUCAUAAAUUAUACCUGCCAGAUCUCAG